rnacentral:sRNA from 1 species
CUGUAAUUGCCUUUCACUUCAGUUCCCCUGCUCGGCGUAAUAAAAUGAGGGAGAUCGACGUCCUUUGAUCAAAGCAAAAAGAUCAAUGACUUGUUUGCCUGAUAAAUUUCUUUGUCCCUUGUACCUUCUUCCAACAUGUGUUAUUUGGGUACUUGGGGUUCUUCCGAUUGGUCUGAUGGUAUUUCUGUCUUGAAUCCUUUGAGAAGUAGGUAGAAAGUAUUAAAGACACAAUGAAAAUGAAUCAGCUUACUACCGUGACGGACAAAAAAGUCAGAAAGAUUUGUACCAACGACGCAGGAUUAACCAGUGACCAGUAGAAGUAAUGCAUUUGCACCGUUUCUGAACCCCUU